GACGAACGCUGGCGGCGUGCUUAACACAUGCAAGUCGAACGAUGAAGCUAGAGCUUGCUCUGGUGGAUUAGUGGCGAACGGGUGAGUAACACGUGAGUAACCUGCCCCGAACUCUGGGAUAACUGCUGGAAACGGUAGCUAAUACCGGAUAUGACCAAUGAAGGCAUCUUCUGUUGGUGGAAAGAAUGUCGGUUCGGGAGGGACUCGAGGCCUAUCAGCUUGUUGGUGAGGUACCGGCGCACCAAGGCGACGACGGGUGGCCGGCCUGAGAGGGUGAGCGGCCACACUGGGACUGAGACACGGCCCAGACUCCUACGGGAGGCAGCAGUGGGGAAUAUUGCACAAUGGGCGCAAGCCUGAUGCAGCAACGCCGCGUGAGGGACGACGGCCUUCGGGUUGUAAACCUCUUUUAGUAGGGAAGAAGCGAAAGUGACGGUACCUGCAGAAAAAGCACCGGCUAACUACGUGCCAGCCGCCGCCGUAA
rnacentral:rRNA from 1 species